AAAUUUUUAACUAAGUCUUAGAACACUAAAAAUAAUUAGCAUAUAAAGGGAAAAAGAGGAGACUAAAAGACUUAGGUCAUUAGGCCCAAAUUCAUAAACUUUGUCCUAACCUAAUUUGAGCUUUUGGCCCAUCUUCACCUGUCUUAAUCUAAUUACUUGGGCUUUUGGCCUAUAACCUGUCCUAAUCUAACAUUCGGGUUUUUGACAUACAACAUGUCCUAAACUAUCUUUUUAGACCUUUGAGGUCCAAAAUCUGCUUCACCUGUAUUAGAUUACAACUUUGGCUUCGAGGCCCCAACUGAAUGAAUAAAUAAAUGACUAAAUAAAAACAAGGCAAUAAUAAAAAUUGACACUUUUCAAGUCUCUUAGCGACCUCAUUAAUAGGUUUUGACCCAUUUUUCUUCUUCUAUCUUCUUGCACCCGCACGCCAUAUAAUCAACUUUGGACUUAAACUUCGGACUUGACUCGAAAAGGUGGGUCUCAUUGGCCCAUUACGAAAUGCAAAAGGAAAAGAGUCCAUUUGAACUCCAAAGCAAUUUCAUGCAAAGAAAAAGAUUUAAAAAAAAAAUAAUAUACGUUCAAAAAUUCUACACUUAAUAGAUAAAUGAUGAAAUGGAAAAAAUAGCAUUCUCAAGCAUAAAGAAAUAAUAAACUAUGAUAUCAAAGCAAACUAAAUUAUCCAACGAAAUAAAAAUUAACCCAUCUCUUAGACAAUCUUACAAAAAUUGAAUCUAGCACAAUAUAAUCAACUAGCCUUGAAAAGAAGACAUGGACCCACAGGCAUAGUUGUUUAAAAUUUGAACAAAUACUUCCUAUAGAUAAACAAAUAUUUGCAUCAAAUACCAUGAUAUGAUCAAGUCUAAGGCAUGCUUUCCUUAAAGAAAGAAAAGUGGAAUGAGUAUUGUCGUGCCCUAUUUCAAACCGGUUGAAACAACACACAAACAUAUGGUGGCUAAUGUCGUGACUCUUCAAUUUUGAAAAUUUAUUUUUUAGAGUUGCCACCUAACUUUUUAGAAAAAUUAGAAAAAAAAUAUUUUUAUGUAGAAAACUCUAUUUUGGUCUUUCGAAAACAUUUAGAGAUUUUGAUUUAAGGGUUUUGAUUACUCGAGGGGAAGGUGUUAGGCCCCCCUCAAAGCCUAUCCGAAGAUAGUUCUCUUACACUCAGUGUAGGAAAAAUAUUUGAAAAAAAAAUUUAUUUUGUUAUUUGCUAAAAUGGUGAUAAGGAAACGCUCAUUAUUAUUUUCUAUUUGUUAUUUUAUAUAAAAGAAAGAAAACUUAAAGAUAUAACAAAGGUGAUGCUAGCAUGUACAAGGGAGUAAUAUCAUUAUUGAAAAAAUCUACAUGCAUUUUAAGUAUAAAAAGGGUGAUAAAACACAUAUUAAAAGUGUAAGUCUUAUCAUUUAGAGAAAGUUGUUUGAAUAUAUGUGAGGUUAAAUAUAUCCUUAUAGAGAAUAAGGUACUUUCAUAGGCGUGAGAACUUAUUUGCAAAACUAUACAUAUUUAAGAGCACGUGAAGAAUAUAUGAGAGAUUAUGAGUAAAUUAGAGUAAAAAUAAUUGUAAUAGCAUGUAAAUCAUGAUAAAUAAUAAUAGUAGUAAUAGUAACAAUAAUGACGAUGAUAACAUUAAAGUGAUGAAAAUGGUUGUUAUGAAAAUAGUAGAAUAUACCUUGUACGUAGUAGCAAAUGAAAUGUAUAUACCUCAUAUUUUCUACCCCUGAAAAUUCGAACAAGUACUGAAAAUAUAACGCAAAGCAUCAGAAUUAUAAAAACAAGGUUAGAAUUAACGAACGACCUAAGAAUUUUGUGACCUGCUCUCCCCUAUGAGUUAGUAUUUGAAUUCUAGUUUGUUAUUCUUUUUUUUAAGAAAAACAUGGAGAUUGUUACGUCCAUUUUAUUAACAAAUUAUUUUUUAAGGUGAGAUAAUCAAUUAAACACUUGAUCAAUUUUUUUUAAAAAAGAAUUUGCUAAUCCUUAAAGAAAGUUUACCUUUGAAAAUCGAUUGACCGAGUGUCGAUCACAAAAAUAUGAUAACGCCAUCCUAUUUAAAGAUUUGAUACGUAACAAAGCAAUUAUAAACAAAUAAAGCUACCUCAAGCAAAUGUAACACAAAAUAGAGUUGGUUAACAUCCAAAAGAAAGCAUAACAUAACGAGUAAGCUAAAAAAAAGAAACGGCUAGGAGUACUAGACUCCAUUUUGGAGUUCAAACUUCUAUCUCGCACGACUCCGAGACUCUUGUGAUCCUAGUAGCGUUUGACCCGAUAGUUGGGUCAAAACGAGUUUCGAUUAAAACUCCAUCUCCAAGAUUACAUGAAACAAAAAUAAAAUAAAGAUGAGUAACCAAAAUAACAAAAUAAUAUAGUUUGUCGAUUAUGAAAAAAAAACACAUACUCAUGAAUACUUUUCACAUAAGAACCGGAUAAGUGCUUAAGUUAAGUUAGCAUUCCAAACAAAUUAUCCUCGGAAGACUUUGCAUUUUAAUAGGACCUUAUCACUAACCUUCAUCGCUACACCAUAGUGAUAACAAAUUUCCUAAGAUCCAAAAGACUUUUCAAGGGAUAAUUUUAAUUUUUCUCAAUGCAUAUCAAAGGGCUCAAAUGAUCAGGAAAAUGUUAUUUCUUUAAACCCUUUUUGCUAUACCUUAGUGAUGGUUAAGAUACCUAUUAUUCCCAAAGCAUGAAACUCCCAGCACAAAGUGGACACUUAACCAUCAAAGUUAUUUAUAAACUUGACAAAUCCACCAAAUUUCACUUAGAAUGGCAAAUAGAGUUGACCACGAACGAAAUUUAGCUGGGAACAUAAAACCCAACAUAUCCAAAAUGAGGUAAUUGAUAAGAAUUUAUGAAGGUAAUCUUCUUAAGUAUGAAUAAAAAAAGAAACCCAAACGACAAAUAAAUAAGUCGAGAGGGAUGGAGUUAAGAGAAAAUAAGUGAAUAAGUAAACCAACAUUUAAGCUUUGGAAUGCUCAUGACAUGAUCAAACAACUAUAGAGAAUUAACAUAAAUGUUUUAAUCCUCUGAAAGUUAACCAAAGGGGCCACGGCCAGAUAUUAAAUUGGGCAAUUUGACAAAAUUGUACUCACGCUGACAACUAAAAAAAGUGCAUGAAGUUAAACCAAUUCUAUCCAAUGUUCACUACGAGAAGUAACUUUAUUAAACUAACCCAAAUACCAAAACUUAUACGGGCAAGGCAUAUCUUUGUACUAAGACACACUCCAUUUUAAACAAUUAAGGAAGCACCAAACAAAGAACUCUCUUAAGCUUUAAGUAAAAGAAAACCACUAAGGGAGAUAAACGGGAUAUUAUAUACUAGUCUUUAGUUGUAAUAUAAUGAAGUGAAUCCAUUUUUUUUUAAAAAAGGGCACAACUUAAAAAAAAGAACAGAAUACUUGCUUAGGAAUAAGAGAAUUCUGGAUAGCUUAAAGAGAGAAACAAAUUCAUGUAGAUUAAUGCUUAGGAAUGUUAAAUAAGAGUACAAUCAAGCACAUUCUUUUCUCCUUCAUAUCGUAGAUAAAUAAAAUACUUGUGAUAGAUUUAAUAUUUAAAGGACUAGAUCUAGAUGCUAUAAAUAAUUAGCUUAUUUUCAUAUUCAAAAUUUAACAAGGGCAUAGAAAGAAAAGAUAAGGAUGAAAAAAAUUAGUUAUUUCAUAAAAAUCUCAUAGAAAACUUCCAAAAGCACCAUAGACAUCAGUUAACCAUCUUCAGAAAACAAACAUGACAGAGAGGUUCACCUGCUUGAGUCUAUCCGGUCAGUCAGCUUUAAACAAACAGAGAAAGUUUCAGCUAGUCGAAUCUAUCUAGUCAAUCAAACGUUAAACAAACCGUCAUCUGCUAAUGCAUGUAAGAUCUCCAAACCGAUUAUUUUAAGGAAAAGCUUGCGUCGACUCUUUAUAAACAACAUCCAAAGUUUGGCACCUUAUACAAAAGAACAUCCCGACAAUAAUGAGAAUAUGACAGCUUCAAACUCAAUUUACCAAACUAAAAAGGGGCUGAGACGACUAUUAGUUCCAAAAAAAAUUGCAAGCAUCGAGUGAUCACAUAUUUGUCAAAAAAAAAAAACUUUCCUUACGACUGAGUAGCUUAUAGAAAAUACAAGAUUAAGAGAGUAGUUCUUGCUCCCUUUAUUUCUGGCUAACCAUAAGAGUCCAGUUUUGAGUAAAAUAAAAGUCCAAAUGAUGACACCAUUCACCAAAAGCAAAGACGACAUUGGACAAUAGACAUGAACUCCUUGAGGCACGUAGAGAGCGUGAUCACUGUCUUGCGAGACCACGUUCACAAAAAUGGUGAUACAUUAUUCCAAACGGAAUUUAUGCUUCCCACGAGAAUAUUCGAAUGUGUUGCACCAUUCUCAUGAGUUGAAACAAUAAAAGAAGAGGAAAACAAAGAGUAUAGAUAUAUCCCUGUGCAGGCUUCGAGAUGACAGCAUGAUUUCAGAAGGCAAGAUAGGGACACACAACUUCUCGAAAUCAGAACAAAAAAAAGGGUGACGAAGGUUCAAAAAAUAAAAUAAAGUGACUAAUUUUGUGUAUCUCACAUGAUUUGAACACACACAAAAAAGGGUAGGAACGAGGAUUUGAGAUGAACUCAGAUUAUUUACUCACAAUAGGAACAACGACACCAAUAUAUGUUUGAAACUGGAACAAGCCCCCUUACUCACAUAUUUACAGGCUUGUAUAUUCCUGAAACAAUUUUUCAGAGAACAAAGCUAUGUUCAGGGAUUCAAGAGAAACUAUAACCACCAACAGUCCAAUGAUGAAACGAAUGCACAAAUAAACAUAAUUACGGACCCACGUAUUCACACAUGAAGUAGAGAAAAUUCAAUCAUCGACAAAUUUGGGGAAAGCACCACAACAACCACCAUAAGCGUGAUCCGUAUUAUGAAAGGGUAUAAUACAUAAGCAAGUACUCCAAUCGUUUAAAAUAUAUCAAUAACUUCAACUUACGCGUUGCUACAUGUUAAGAGCAGCCCCAUUUUUAAAGAAAAUAGAUUUCGAUUAUGCCCAAAAUUUAAACCAUUAUCAUGCCUCGGAUUUACUGAUUGCAAGGCGCACACAUAAAUUGCAUCAAUAUUAUCUCUAAAAAACAGACCAACAACAGUCAAACAGGGGAAAUGGGGAAGGGCUAAACAUGCUUUGAGCAGGAUCAAUUUCAUUUAAUGAAGGUGUUAAUCAAAACACAAGGUGACGAUGAAAUAAAUUUUUCCACAUACCUGAAAAGAGAAGGGAACAAAACCCGAAACACACAUCCUUCUUACUUAAUAAUUUUUAACACCAUAGCGAGUUCUUUACACAUUAAAGUUUAUAACCAAAAACUGUGAUCAACCUUAUUUAUUCACAUUCAUUAAUCAUAAAAGAAGAUUUUUAGCAAAAAAGUGAUGUAAACAGGAAUGUCACAAGACUUCCAGAUGUAAUAUCAAACUGGGAUGGGGAAUUAAGAUCAUAACAAACCACCUUCAGAUCAGAAUAUUGGUCUGAAAGUUAAAAGCAACGAAGGUUUGUCUAAAUACAGUGGACUAGAUCGCAAAACUGGCAUUUAAGCUAAAAUAGUGGAUUGAAAACUAACAAGCAACUCUAAGACAAAACAAUAGAUUCCAAAGCUAAAAUAAGGAAAGAUGAAUCUAAAAAAUGAACCAAUCGAUUAAGGUCAUGAUAGGCAGCCAACAUACAAUUUUGAAUGUUUUAAAAGUCCCUCCCACAACAAAUGAGGCUGCUGGGAUCUUGCAAACACACUAACCAAACGUACACAUAGCUAAGUUAUUAUUACCAGAAUAAAGCAUCUGAAUCGGUAUUAAGAUAACCUCAAAAUGUUUACUAGAACGUUUACAGGAAAAUUUAAACCUUCAUGAAGUGUGUUUUGAGCUUAUUAGGUGGGUUUAAUAACCUACUUAUGUACUGUUAAGUAUGUACAUAGCCCAAUUGUGCCAGAAUUACCCCUUCAAGUUCUCAUUUGUGCAACCAAAUGAAACAUCCAAUUUCAGUCCAAAAUAAAUCAAACUUUAUGGGUUUUUUAUUUAAACUAGAUCCCACACAAACAUAUAAUCUAACAAGAAAUAUAAACAAAUGACAAGAAAAACUAUCUUUACUUUAUGUAUUUGCACUCAAACUCAAAUAGUCUAAAGCCGCAAACAUCCAUACACAACACACAGUUAAGAAUUUACAAAUUAUGCAGUCAAGAUGGAAUAGGAUUUACUCUUACAACUAUUCGCGAAAUCACAUCAGAAUUGCAUCAAAACGUAAGGAAAAUCAAAACGAGAACGAACAAGCACCAUUUGUAGGGGGUGCGCGGAUUUAAUAGGUAUAAUAGAUUUAGUAGGUUUCUAGUGAAUCUAUUUUUAUUUGUGCGUGGAUAUUUUUUAAAUUUUGUUUCAAUAUCUUUUAAUAAUUUACUUUUUUCGUAAGAUAUGUUCAUUAAUUAUUUUAUCCUGUAGUAAUUGCAGAGUUACAAAUUUCUGUAUAAUAAUUUAUCCUAUCUGUGCUAUAAUGUAUAUCUAAUUCUAGAUUCUCAAUGUUAUUUAUUAUCUUGUGUUGUUCUUCUCGUAGUGAGUUUUUUAAAUUAUAUAAACUAUCACAUGUACUUUUAUCUAAAUUUUCUAAGGUUUUUCCUAUCCAUAUUAAUUUUUCUUUUAGGUUUUCCAUUAUUUUUCUAAUUCGGUUUCUAUAAUUAAUUUCAUUAUUUAGAUUUUCUUGAUUUUCUCUAGUUUGUCUAAUAUAUUCUAACAUUUUUUAAUCUGAAUAAUAUCCUUCUGGGUAAAUUUCUUCGUAUAACUGUUCUAGACAAUUUGUAGUUUCAUUUUCGUAGUCUAAUACUUUUUCUAAUAUUAUUUUCUUAAUAUCUAUUAUUUCUAUAUCUUUGAGUAUAUAUAAGAUUNNNNNNNNNNNNNNNNNNNNNNNNNNNNNNNNNNNNNNNNNNNNNNNNNNNNNNNNNNNNNNNNNNNNNNNNNNNNNNNNNNNNNNNNNNNNNNNNNNNNNNNNNNNNNNNNNNNNNNNNNNNNNNNNNNNNNNNNNNNNNNNNNNNNNNNNNNNNNNNNNNNNNNNNNNNNNNNNNNNNNNNNNNNNNNNNNNNNNNNNNNNNNNNNNNNNNNNNNNNNNNNNNNNNNNNNNNNNNNNNNNNNNNNNNNNNNNNNNNNNNNNNNNNNNNNNNNNNNNNNNNNNNNNNNNNNNNNNNNNNNNNNNNNNNNNNNNNNNNNNNNNNNNNNNNNNNNNNNNNNNNNNNNNNNNNNNNNNNNNNNNNNNNNNNNNNNNNNNNNNNNNNNNNNNNNNNNNNNNNNNNNNNNNNNNNNNNNNNNNNNNNNNNNNNNNNNNNNNNNNNNNNNNNNNNNNNNNNNNNNNNNNNNNNNNNNNNNNNNNNNNNNNNNNNNNNNNNNNNNNNNNNNNNNNNNNNNNNNNNNNNNNNNNNNNNNNNNNNNNNNNNNNNNNNNNNNNNNNNNNNNNNNNNNNNNNNNNNNNNNNNNNNNNNNNNNNNNNNNNNNNNNNNNNNNNNNNNNNNNNNNNNNNNNNNNNNNNNNNNNNNNNNNNNNNNNNNNNNNNNNNNNNNNNNNNNNNNNNNNNNNNNNNNNNNNNNNNNNNNNNNNNNNNNNNNNNNNNNNNNNNNNNNNNNNNNNNNNNNNNNNNNNNNNNNNNNNNNNNNNNNNNNNNNNNNNNNNNNNNNNNNNNNNNNNNNNNNNNNNNNNNNNNNNNNNNNNNNNNNNNNNNNNNNNNNNNNNNNNNNNNNNNNNNNNNNNNNNNNNNNNNNNNNNNNNNNNNNNNNNNNNNNNNNNNNNNNNNNNNNNNNNNNNNNNNNNNNNNNNNNNNNNNNNNNNNNNNNNNNNNNNNNNNNNNNNNNNNNNNNNNNNNNNNNNNNNNCUUGAACAUUGGUGGUCUGGAUAUUUAUGUCCGAUUAUCUUACAGUAUCUUGUUAGCAGUCCGUCUGAAAUAAAUCCCUUUUUCAUUGCUCGCGCGGUAGAUUUUUUUUUCUGGGUUAAGUAGCGUCAGUAUCCAUUGUCUUACGUCUUCCAUAUCUGCUUGUCGUAGCUCUUUUGAAUUUGAAUAUAUCAUUUGGUGAUCUCUUGAAUAGUAGCUCCAUAUUGGGUUUCCGUUAGCAUAGUUAUUUGCUAGUUCUUGAAUGAUCGUAGCUAGUCCAAUAAGUCUUUUAUUUGCAUAAAAAUCUGGUAUCUCGAUUCUAGGUAUCUCCGGUUGUUGCGAAAUAUCUUCUGGUAUAAUCAUAUCUCUUGUUAAUCCUAUCUUUACAACUUGUAUAACUGGUUUUAUUUCGUCAUAUAAUAUCUCUGCUGGUGCAGUAUAACACUUUAUAUAAAAUAAAUUUCCUUUUGUUAUUCUUUUGUAGGUAGUGAAUAUCUUGUAUAAUUCCUCCAUAGCUGUUAGCUCUUCUCCGUCUUGGGUGUAUAUGGUAUUUAGUAGUCCAUAGUCAAAACAAGUUUUAACUAGGCUUGGGUUAGUUUUGGGUAGUGCUAUCAGUUUAUUGUAUCCUUGUAGUUUUUGGGUUAUAUAAUUGGUAUUUGGUUCUUGGAUAUUUGUAGCUCUGGGGUUAUGGUUUAGAAAGGUUUGGACUCUAUAUAUAUUUUCUAUGUAUUUUUGGGCUGUGUAGUUGUAUAUUUUCUUGUCUUGGUUUAGGCUGUCUCGGUAUGUGUUAACUUGUGGGGGUAUGAAUAAAUGGUCUUUUUGUGCUUUUGGGGUAAAUGGUUUUUCAAAUAUUUUGUUCAUAUUUACAUUCUGGUAUCUUGGUCUAUUAACUCCUUUGCUUGUACCUGCAGAAGUAGAUUGAUAAAUGUUAUGGGUUUUAUGGAGUGUCCCAACGUCUCCUUCUAGCUCUGGAUUUUUAAUGUCUUUCGAUCGACAUAGCUCUGCACAUUGCUGAGUUAGCUGAUUUGUAGCUAUAGACUUCAGUUUAUCUUCAUUAGUCUUUAGCUUUUCUAUCUCAUUACCCAUACUGUCCACUUUCAUUGAAAGCGUAGUUAGGGUGUUAAGUAUUUUUUCUAGAGUAUCUUCCUCUACUAUUUCAGUCUGUGUAGCUUUGUCUUGAUAUGUAAUCUGCAAUAACAUUUUUGUUAGUACUGAUCACUUCAAUUGUAAAUGUGAAAUUUAAUAUAUUUAAAACUAGUCUUCGAAUCUCUUUUGUUGUAACUGAAUUUUGUAUUUUCUUUGUUAACCACCAGCGUACCUGUGUAUUAUCUGUUCGUACAAUAAAUUUGUUAUAUACAAUAUAUGGCUCAAAUGCUAAUAAACAUUUAUAUAAUGAACAUAAUUCUUUCCUAUUUAUUUCCCAUUUUAUUUCUGUCUCGUUGAACGUACCUGAGUAGUAUCUACAAUGGUGUUCUAUUUUUUCUGCUUCAUAUCGAUAUUUAAGUACUCCUCCGUAACUAUAUUCACUUGCAUCUGCUUCUACUAUAUAUAUAAAUUUUCUAUUUUCAUCUGGAAAUUGCAAUUUUGGUAAUUCUCUACAAAGUAAUUUUAUUUUUUGAACUUGUUUUUUAUCUUUUUCAUCAUAAUUAUAUUCUAUAUCCUUUUUUAAUUUUUUCUGCAGUGGUUUUAAGGUUUCUGCUAAUUUUGGAAUAUAUUCUCUUACUUGGUUUACUAAUCCUAAAAAUGAUUGUAAUUUCUUUUUUGUAUCUAAUUCUUCUUUCGAAUUUAUUAUUUUUUGUACUAUAUGUUGUUGCAUUUUUACUCCACUUUUAUCUAUUUGUAUUCCUAAAAAUUCUAUCUGGUUUUUCAUAAUUUCAGCUUUCUUUUUGCUUAGACUUAUUCCUGAUUUUUCUAUUAUAUCUGUGAAUUGUUCUAAUAAUUUUAAAUGUUCUUCUUUGGUUUUGGUGUAUAAUAAUAUAUCAUCUAUGUAUACUAUACAAUUAGAUAAUUGUUUAAAAUAAUUAUCCAUAAAAUGUUGAUAUCUACCUGGUGCAUUUUUAUAUCCAAAUGGUAACACGUUCCAUUCAUAAAAUCCUUGUGGUACCGUAAAUGCGGUUAAUUCUUUAGAUUCUUCUUCUAGCUUUAGGUGGUAAAAUCCUGAUUUACAAUCAAAUUUGCUAAAAUAAUUAUAUCCUUGGAUUUGUCUUAUUUUUAAUAUCUUAUUUGGUAUCGGAUAAUUAUAUGUUAUAGUUUUUGCAUUUAAAUUUCUAUAGUCAAUAACCAUCCUACUUUUUCCUCUUUUUUGUUCACUAUGUUUAUUUACUAUAAAUGCUGGACUAUUAUGUUUACUAUUACUUUUUUGUAUAUAUUGUUUUUCUAAUAAUUCAUCUAUGUGCAUUUUAAAUUCUUUUAAAUCAUCAAAAUUAUAUGUUAAUGGUUUUUGUGUUAUUAUGCUAUUCUUAUCUAUUAAUUCAAUUUUUAUAGUAGUUUUGUGUUUUUCCCAUCCUUUUAAUGGAUCUUCACUAUAUAAUUGUUCUAAUUUUUUCUGAAUUAUUUCUAUUUUAUUUAUUGAAAAUAUAGUUAUUUCUGUUUUAUUUAUCGAAAAUACUACUAGUUCUACUGUAUCUUCAGUAUUGUUUAUAUUUUCUAACUUUUGUGUAAUUUUUUCACUUCCUUUUAUCCAAUCAGUUUUCUUUCUUAUUUUAUUAUUAACUCUUUUUGCUCUUACUUUUUGUUUGCAUGGUGUUGUAAACCACCAGUCUGUUUUAGUUAUUAUAUGUGGGUAUAAUUUAUCUAAAAAUGGCAUUCCUAAAAGUAUAUCUUUUGAUGUUAAUUCAUAGUUAUAAAUUUCUUCUAUUGUUAAUAUCUUAUCCCAUACUUGUAUUUUUACAUUCCUAGCUUUAUAAGUAAUUAAGCUUCCUUCAUUAUUAAAUCCUUUAACUAUUAUUGGUGUUUUUAGUUUAUCCCAUUUGCUUUCUGGUAAGCAAUUAUAUCUACAUAAAUUAGCUUCUGCUCCUGUAUCUAUCAUAGGCGUAUAAUAUCUACUGUAAUAUCCUUCUACUACUAUCUUCAUUAAUACAUGUAUCUUCAUUUCAUGUUAAGGCUCUUUUUAAGAAUAACUUUUCUUGGUUAUAUGUUAAGGUUAAUUGUGUAUGUUCUAUAUUAUAUGGUUUUACUUGUUCUAACCAUUUUAUUCCUAAUAUUAUAUCUGCUUUUUGCAUUUCUUCUUUUACUUCGAAUUCUAUUUUUAUUUUUCUAACUCCUAAUAUUAUUUCUUUUUCUGCUAGAUUUUUAUUAUUUAUUAAACUUCUUGGUAAGUCUGGGCAUAUAUUAUUGUCGGUUUUUAUUUCUUCAUUUUUUACUAGAUAUUUUGCUAUAUAAUUUUCUUCUUGUCCUGUGUUCAAAAGUAUUAAAUAUUCUUUUUCAUUUAUUUUUCCCGUUAUGUAAUAUUGGUUUAAAUUACUUAUUGAGUUUGUUUCAUAACUUGUUCUUUUUGAUGAGCUUGAUGAUUCUGGCUUUUCAUUAGCUAUUCUUUUCGUUGUACUUAUUCUAUCAUUUACUAUUUCUAAAUUUUCUUCUGUAUCUAUGUCUCUAUAGGUAUAAUCAUUAUAAUCUAUUGUUUUUACUAUUUGUUCGAAUGGGCUUUCUAUUUGUAUUUUGUUAAUCUUAUUUUUUCCUGUUAUUUUAUGUUUUGUUGUUAAUACAUAUAGGUUUUUACAUCUUGCUGUAAAUAUUUUACUUCCUGGGGUUAACUCUAUUCCUGAUAUUUUCCAAUAUAAUACUAAUGAUUUAUCUAUAUUCCUAUCUGUUACUGCUACUGAAUAAUUUGCACUUAUUAUAAAUUUAAAUUUUUGGUAUAUUAGAUUUCCUUUUACGGCAGUUAUUAUGCUUUUUUCUAUAGGUUUUAUAAUUCUAUCGUCUGCUAAAUAUAAUUCUAUUGGUGUAUCUAUUCCUUCUCUAAAACAUGCUUUUAUUAAUAUCUCUGUACCUCCAAGGUGUACAUAUUUUAUUGGAUCUCCUUUACUUUUUAUAUCAUUUAUUUCUUUAUUAAUUAUUCUUUUUGUUACUAGUGGUAUACUAGCUUUUCCUUUUGCAUAUCUGCAAUCUAUUACAUGUUCUUUUUGGCAUACUACAUAAUAUUCAUCUUUUUUCCUAGUAAAAAUAUUUUUUAUUGUUGGUAUUUUAAAUAUUUUGUCUACACUUAAAUCUAAUUCUUUUCCUUUUAUUUCAUCAAAUAUAUUACUGUCAAAUAUUAUUUUUUGUUCCGUUCCUUCAUCAUUUAAAUAUUCUUCCUUUGUUAUUAUUUUUAUAUCUUCUUCAGUCAUUUGAUUCAUCUAUUUCGCUAUCUAUUUCAUUAUCUGUUUCGUUUUCUGAAAUUUCAUAUAUACUAUCUUCACUUUCUAAUUCAUAAUCUAUAUAAUCUAUCUGCAUGUAUUCGGUAUUUUCUAUUUUUAUUUCUGAUAUUUGUUUAUUUUUUGGAUUUUUAGGUAAUUUACAAUCUCUAGCUAAAUGUCCUAACUUUCCACAAUUAUAACAAGUACAUUCUUUUAUAGAUUUCUUUUUUCUAUAUGGUCUUUUAUGUUUAUAAUUUUUUACAUAGUAUCUUUUUCUUGGUUUUUUAUAUUUAUAUUUUGAUUUUUUAUAUUUCUUAUAUUUCUUAUGUCUUUUUCUUUUCUUAUAAUAUCUUUCUUCGCAUCCAAAUUGGGGUGCUAUUUUAUUUUUGCAACAAGCUAAAUUUCUUAUUAAUGUUUUUUCCAUUUUUAAUUCUUCUCUAUAUUUUUCACAUAAGUUUCUAUACCAUUGUUGUAAAUAUUUUAUUCUUGCUCCUAACGUAUCUACUAUUUUUGCUUCUUCCCAACUUUUUAUUAUUUUCGAACUAAAUGGCUCGGGUAAUUUAUUAAAAUAUAAUUUUCUUAUUUCUUUACUUUCUUCUAUACUAUAUGCUCCUUUGUAAUAAUAUUCUUUAAAUGCGCAAGUAUAUUCAUCUAUAUAACACAUAUUACAUAUUGCUAAUUUUAACAUUAAAUUUCUAUUUGUAUCUUUUUCUUCAUUUUGUUCUUCUUCGAUUGUUGUCGUACUACCAAAUUCAUCUUUUAUAGCUGUUUCAUAUUUUUUUAAUAAUUCUAUAGGUGUUAGUUUAGUUGUUGUCGAUGAUGUUCCUUCUAUAGGUUUAUUAGUUCUUAAUACUUUUUUGCUAUUUUCGGUUAGAUUUGCAAACCAUAGUUUUACUGAUCCUAUUAGUGUUUUUUCUAUAUAUUCCGGUGCAUCUGUUAUAUUUAUAUUAUUAUCUAAUAAUUGUUUUGUCAUAUAUCCUAUCCAUAAUUGUAUUGUUUUUUCUGUAUCUAUUACACAGUCUAGAUCUAAAAAGUUAUAAUUUUUAUUCACUAUUUGUUUUGGUUUCCAUUUAUCAUAUUCAUUAUAUUUUUUAAACUUAUUCUUAUGGUAUAUAGGUUUUCUUAUUUCUGUUGUUUUAGGUAUUAUAUUUUCAUUUUCUUUUUUAUCAAGAGUAUUUAUUUCUGUGUGGGUAUUUUCUAAGUUUUCCUCAUUAAUUUUUUGUUCUUCAUUGAUUUCUAAAUUUUUUGUAUUUGUUAAUAUUUCUGUGUAUGUUUCACUAUCUUCGGACUCAUAAUUAUCUGUCUCUUCAAUAUCUAUAUUAUUUAUUUCUAAUUCUUCAUUUUUUAUUUCUAAUUUUUCCUUAAAUUGAUUUAUCUCAUUUAGUAAUUUCUGUUCUCUAUCUUUUUCUUCUUUUUCUUUUUGUCUUUGUUCAUACAGUUCUUUUAACAUUUGUAAUUCUUUUUCUAAUUCAGCAAUUCUACUAUUUUUGGUUUCUUCUAUUUUUCGUAUUUCUUCCGUAGUUUGUUGUUUUAUUUUUUCUAUUUCUUUUUUCCUAUCUAUCUCUUCAUUUUCUUUUUCUAUUCUUACCAUUGCUGUUAAUUUAUCUUCUAAUUUUAAUUCUUCUUUUUCUAACAUUAGAUAUAAAUGUUCACCUAUUUUCUUAUAUCUUCGUCCUAGAUUAGAAAAUACUAUUUUUAUUUUUGAUCCUUCGUAGUUUUCAUAUAUUUUUUCAUCUAUUAUAAAUUCUUCUUUAUUCAUUUUAUUGUGAAUAGGUCAUGUUGAUAUACAUAUUCUAAACUAUCUAUUUGUGAUUCUAAUUUUGAUAUUUCAUCUUUUUGUGUAUCUAUUGAAUUUUUACUAACUCCGGCAAAUAUAUUAUAAUGUAGUCUUUCUAUUCUUAUUUUUAAUUCUUUACGUUUUUCAGAGAUAAUUUGUUUUAAUUCUUUAUAUUGUUGUAUUUUAUUCAUUUUAAAUUAUAUUUAUAAUAUCUCGGUGGAUAUCUAAAUCUAAUUUUAUCAUAAUUAGGUGGUAUAUGUUUCAUUCUUCUAGAUUUUAAAUGUGUUAUUAAUUUUGAUUCAGUACUAGAUAUUAAUGUAAUUAAGUAGGCUAGUUUUUGUGGAUUUUCUUUUGUUUUAUUUAGAUUUAUAUAUUCUGAAUAAUUACUAAUUAAAGAUUCUUUAAUUUUUCUAAAAGCUUCUCUAUUUUUAAAUGGUCUUCGCAUAAUUAAUUUAAUAUUUUUGUAGGUAAAUUUUUUAACUCUAACUCUCUAACUAUUCUAACUCUAGUAUAUAUCUCUUCCGUAUUGUUUAAAUUGCUUAGCUCUGAUACCAUUUGUAGGGGGGUGCGCGGAUUUAAUGGCUUUCAGAAUCAAAACUACAUUUCAUUUGCAAGAUCCAAAAUACAACACCAACACCAACACCAACACCAACAUCGAAGCAAAUCCCACUCAACAGAAUCCAAAUAGAUAAGGGAAAAGAAAAGAAAAUGAAAUGAAAAUGUGGUAGAUUAGCACCUUUUUUGGUGCAGCAAAACUGGAGCUACGGCGACAAGGGUUUUUCAACGGCGAAUUCAACUCCGACGAUUCUGAACGUCUGAUCUCUAAUUUGCUCUAUUUUCACUUAUUUUGACACUAUUUUUUCUCUCUUUCCUUAAUUUUCUCCCUUUGCCCCAAAGGAAUGGCUGAAGCCCUCCUUUUAUAGGCAUAUUUUAGAAUUUUUGAUACUUAUCAGACUACAAAUAAUUUAACGGACUAGAUCAAUUUGUGUGGAAUGACAAAGUGGAUAUGGGAAUUGUUUUGAGUUUUGGGCUAAUUUUUAAACUUCUGAAAUUUAUAAAUAAGAGUUGGGUUUAGGUGAAAUAAAAAAUUGAAAUAAAGUUAUCGUUGCCCCGAAUAUUCUUUUUCUACUGAAAUUAAUUUUAUCGAUGUUCUCUGCUGCCCUAAAAUUAUUUUUAGUCUAAUGUAUAUAAAUUAUAUAAAUAAUUUAGUAUAUGCGUCCGAUUUAAUAAUUGGUAAUUUAAAUUUUUAUAAUGCUAACAAUAUAUAUAUAGUAACUUUAACUUUUAUAAUAUUAAUAGUGUGUGUGUGUAUAUAUAUAUAUAUAUAUAUAUGCAUUAAAUCGUAUAUAAGAUUAUAAUAAAAAUAUGCACAUACGCAUAUAAUAAUAUAUAUAUAUAUAUAUAUAUAUAUAGUCACAAUAUAUCGUCUGAAAAAUAAAAUUAGAAAAAACGCGAAUGCGAUUAUCAAAAAGAUUUUUUUUUUUUUAAAUUUUGAUGUUAAAUAAUUAUUUAUAUUUAAUUAAAUUAUUUUACCAUAUUAUAGGAAAAUAAUAUUCUCUUUUUUAUUUUUUUCGAAAUUCAUAGAGAUAAAAAUACGAAUUUAUUUUAAAAAAUUAUUUAAGGCCGAGGAGUACCAAAAAAAUAAAGGAAAUGGAGCGAGUUAAAAUUGGGUGUCAACGAGUAUAAGAUGAGGAAAUCUUUUUUGUGGCAUCUCAAAUAUGAAAUAUGAAAUAUAAGAUAUACUAAUGCAACGACACUUUUUCAAUACCAAGUGGAGUCAAUCAACAAAUUUUAAGAAAAACUCAUGAUAGUAUGUGAAUAACAAUGGGACGUCUAAAUGCACAAAAAUUCUUCAAGAAAUAAAUCAAUAAGCAAAGUGAAGCAAAUUGCAUACAUUAAACAUGUUUGAAAAAUUAUAUUCAAAGACAAGAUAAAAAAAAAAGGUAAAAGAUUAAUUUCAAGAAAAAAUGUCCAAUUAUGCCUACUCCUAUUUUAGUUUUACACCCUUUCAACAAAAUCUAUAAACCUAACAAAUUUUCAAUUUAAAUAAGAGAAAUCAAAGAUGGUUUUGACCUUGAAGACGAGUAAAACAUGAUCACAGACAUAUCAAAAGAACUAUAACAUAUAAUCAUGGAGAAAAUAACUCUUUAAUUAAAAAAAUUAAGAAUCGGCAAAAGAGUUGGAUCUUAAAAGUAGCCCUUAAGUUAUAAUUUUUACAUGUGAAUGGGCCAACUAUCAUGUGUAUGUCAAAGUGGUCAACUUCAAUCUUAAGCGGUGAUUUUGCAAAUCGAUAGGCCACAAACAUAGCACACUAUGAUAUGCCUUUCAAAAAUAACACCAAAUCCCUAGGUACAAGUAACUCACUACUUCGAAUUGAGAAACAAUUUCACAGACCCUUAACAAUAGUAACUAUUUUUUCGAUAUAAAGAAACAACUUUACAUGCUAAAAGCAAAUAUGUCCACCAAUAAAAAAUGUAAGCAAAGCAUGGGUACGUAGUUUAAACAAGAAAAGGUCGAAACUUUAUUCAUCUAAUCAUAAUAAUCGAAGAAGAAAGUCAAAGAAACACGUUCAACUAUUGUUAGCUCAUUUUACACCAUGAAUAUAAAAAUAGCCAUAAUAUUGAUACCACAACAUCAUAUGGCCUUAAAGACCAUAUACAGCCAACAAUCCCAACAAAUAAAAUUACAACUAUAAAACUACAAAACUACAAAACUACGAAGAAGGAGAUGAAGAAGAAAACGAUAACAAAACUAAAAGAUAAAGGUGUGUUUACCAUUUUCGGAGAAACAAAAUGGGACUUCAAGUUUUCUUCGGAGUCUUGAUCACCACCGAAAAGCAAUCUUUCGAGAAUCCCAAUCAGUCUAUCGCUUGAAAAAAUCUUACUAAAAAAAUGUUUAACUCUUUGCUCAAAAAAAUUUUCCACUCUUUGAGACUUUUUAAAUUUUUUCACUAAAAAAUUUCAACUAUUUGCUCAAAAGCCUUUCAACUCUUUGAAGCUUGGUCUUUCUACCAAAAUAAUGUAAGUAUUUAUAAAAAAGGAUAAAGAUUCAAUUCUUUUCAUCCACUAAUAUGGGAAAAAAAAUUUAGGGGUGUUUUGGGAAUUUAAAAUUGAGGAUAAGGUUUGUUGGAUGAUAAGGUGAUGUGAAAUUGUACAAUCUAGUACAAUUCUGAAUUUCAAAAAUGAAAAAAGGACAGGGUUGAGAAAAAAUUGCACAAUUUAGUACAAAAUUUAAAUUUCAAAAACGAAAAAAGGACAAGGUUGAGGUGGAAUUGUAUAAUCUAGUGCAAAUUUUGAAAUUUAAAUUUAAAUUUUGGGAUUUGAAUGGGUAGAUUGGCUUAGUCUAUUUAUUAAAUACCCAAAAUUAAAUUAAAAUUAGCCAAUCUUAUUUAAAUUUUGGCCAAUUGAGAAUCAAUUGGUCAAUUAAAUUGCAAAUAUGACCCUAAAUAAUAAUUUUAGUCAAUUUUAUUUAAAUUAAAGUCAUAUUGAAAAUCAACUGGCCAAUUACAUUGCAAUUAUGGGCAAAUUGAUUUCAAUUAUGACCAAAUUCAAUAAAUUGACUAAAAUUUAAAUAAGAUCCGAUAUAAAUUAUUAAUUUAUUUAACCCCGAGAUUCUUGAUUAGAUAAAAUCAAAUAAAUAUUUCUCAAAAUAAAUAAUUUUUUGAGAACAAAUUGUAUUUCAAUCAUGAUUUUACCCAUUUGAAUUAAUUUUCAAGAUUAAUCUCAAUAACAGUCCAAUUUUGAUAAAAAUAUUCAUUUAAGUAAUAAAAUUUAUACAAUCUCGUAUAUGUAAAUAUGAAACAUAUAGUCGUCACUUAAAUGACAAAAUUAACCCAAAAUAAAUAUUUUAGAACAUAUUUACCUAGAUGAAAUAAAUAUUUUGAUUUUAUUAAAAACAGAAGAAACUCAGGAUUAAAUUUAGUUGUAAAGGGCAAAAAUUAGGUGUCUACACUUGGAAUGCACGGAAUAAAAUAAAAAAAUGAAUUUCUGCUAAAGUUAUGCAGCCUCUCAAAUAUAGAUAACAAACGCCUCUGUACCGAUGUGCAAGACUCUACUUAACUUGGAUAUACUAAUGAGACCAAUGAACCUAUGGCUCUGAUAUCAAUUUAUCAAGAUCCAAAAUAAACACGUGAUGGCACUUUUCAAACCCUUCAUACAAGCAAGUCUAAUCUAAUAAAAAGGAAGACGAAUAAAAGAAAAUAGAAAUGGAAGCAAAAGAACAAAGUAAUCACAAAUAUAUAACCAAGACACGAGUCUUCCAAAAUACAUCCCAAGUCUGGUUGUCACUAGUAUAAUCCUCUAAUACAAAUUCAGAAUAACAACAACAAUCUAAAAUGUCUUAGAUGCAAAUAAAAUAUGAGAUAUAAGUAGAGAGAUCUGAGAAGUUACGAAGUCUGCCAGCCACUACCUCGAUCUCCACAAUAUCUAACGUCAAAGAAAUGUAAUCUACAAAAUCUACCACUUAAAUAAAUAUCUACAUAAGGUGCAGAAAAAUAAAACAAGUAACAAAAAGCAAGAAUGAGUAUGAAACCACGUGUACUCAACAAGCAACGUCGAUAACCAACUCUAAUACAAAGAGAUGGUGAGAACCACCACCCUAAUUACCCAAGGUUUCCCCAAAUAAAUCUAUAGUCAUUAAAUUCUCUACUUCAUCCUAACAGGGUAAACCAACACAACAAUCAUAAUAUUAUCCAUAAACAAGGUAAGCACAUAAGUCUAGAUGAGUCAACACUAGCCACAUUAUGAUCAACAAGAAUAGAAAAAUAUUUAUAAGGAACACUCACUAACACAGUUUAUCAAGCUUAUAAAUUAUCAUAUUUUAAACAAUAAUCGGUGAUAAAAUAGUGAGAAAGUAAAAGUAUGUGUAUGUCAUGAUACCACUAGAUACGAUACUACAUGUCUCACAAAUCAAGUCAUAGACUUACCCUGUGUAUCAUCGAUACCUCAACUCCCAAAUUAACCAAGAAUUAGAAUAGCAUGAUAUAGCAAAGUGAAAUGAAUACUCAAAACACAAUAUCACAAACAAGAUUCAAUAAUGAUAAUUAACUAUAACAGUAAGCACUCAACGAUAAUAUCAAACCAUACAAAGGAAAUGACAUGCAAUGCAAGUGAUGAAGUAUAAUAUGAUGAUGAUGAUGAUGAAUGAUUGAAAGCCACCGCAUGAUUUUUUGUAUACACCUACUGAGCCUCAACGCUCCCAAGAUAGGACCCGUGGGAGGUUUGCAACCCAUAUGCUCUUAUAAUCUCAUUAUCAUGUCUCAGGUCAGCAUUACCGACAGAUCCCUUGGUAUAGGCAUUUUCUAAAGUGACUCAUUUUUCUUACAAAAUCAGAGUGGCUUAGUGGCACCAAUGUCUCAUGAAUAUGCAUGUGUGAUAAGGAUGUAAUUCUUACAACCAAUUAGUACGAAGAUCAAAAACCCAUUCAAUACAUAUAUAAGUAAGCUCGGAAUCAACACAAUAUAUCAAUAAUUCAUGAUAUUAGUUUCCAUUUGGCACCACUAGAAUAAAAAAAUCAUGUAGUCAUCAAUAUUAUCAUUUUUAACUCCCCGCUCGGGCAUCACUUUAAUGAAUAUGCAAUUAAAUGCUCAUAUAAGGCCUAUAAUAUCAAGUCAAGCUCCCCACUCGAGCAACACAAUAAUGUAUAAGGCACUUAACGCACAAACAUAAUCAAUAACAUCAAGUCAAGUCCUUACACAGAUGUCACAAUAAUAUAUCAUCUCAAAUAAAAAACAAUAUGCAUAUAAGCCCCUAUUCAGCACACGAUCAUAAAUAAUUACUCAAGUCCAUGAUGAAGUUCGCAUAAGCCCCACAUGGACAACACGGAAUAAACAACAAAUCUCGAUCAUAAUAUAUCAUGGACUACCCAAACCUAACUAGGUUCAUACAUUAAGCUUCGUCAACUAUUACAAGUCUAUUCAUACUUUAAGUAUCCUCUAAACCUCAAUCAUUCCACCAAAUAACGAUAAUAGCAUAAUCAUUCCCUAAAAAGUCAUUAAAAUCUAAAUGAUUAUAUCAAAGUCCAAUAAACACGAUAAGUAUUUACUAAGUCAUCUAUCUACCUUCCACUCUAAGGAUAUUCACAAGAAGUAAGACUAACUAGGAUAAACAACUAUAUAACUACAAUCCAUCAAGGGCUCCGGCACCCACUGAGAUAUUCACCAUUUUAUCUAAGCGGUAUCCCCGGUGCUAAACGAUACACAAAAUACAAUAAAAAAAUAUACAACACACAAACAUUUUGAAAAUAGUCAAGGUACAUCUUAACUUGCUUUUAAAGAAGAUCCACAAACCCAACAUAGUUCAAAGCCUCAAUCGAAAGCUUAACUCUCUCGAAUCAACACUAACGUGUUCAACCUAAUCAAAUAUAACAUCUAUAAGUCAAAAGGAGUCCAUCGAUACUCAUCGACUAUAUUUAUUUUAGGUCCAAAAUCCACUUUGAAAAACAUUUCCAAAAACAUAAGGGUAAAAUUAAAAUUUUAUUUAAAAAUAAUUUUUUCAAUAUCAAGAGGAGUCUAUAUUUGAAAACAUAAGCAAAAACGAGUAUAAAUCGGACCUCAAAUUGAAGGAAAACCAAUUUACACUUUAUCGCAUAAAAACCUUCAAAAUUACAUUUACAAUCAAGGAUUUGAAAUUAUUAAGAUAUUGGGUAAUGAUAGAAUAAGGAUUUGAAAACUUACCCAUGAAAAAAAUCUUAAAACCCCCUUUGAAAUCAUCCAAAACUGAGCUCUCAAAUGUGAAAUAUAGUGAAAAUAAGGUUUUGGGUCGAGAAAGGGACUUAAAUUAUCCAGGUAAAUAAUGGCCUUCACGAAUGCGGAACCCUGACUAUGAACGUGAAAGUCAACUUGACCCAAACUCUGCGAAAUGGGCCAAACAUCAUAAAGGUGUGAAGAAAUGGACUGUAACGCCCCGAAAAUACACCCUAGACGCCAUAUGGUGCUUACGAUCUCGAAGGACCACAAACUCACCCACGAGCUGGUACCUACUAUUAGCACUGAAUAGUAUAGUAACAAAAUAUAUAUGUGUGGAAAUAACUAAAUAAUGUCAAAGGUUUAAACCUGAGAUCAUUACUGAAUCAUGAGUCUGAAGACAUACUGAAAGUCAAAUAAAAACACCGAUACACUGACUAAUUGUCCUUUGUCUGAAAGCUACUGACUAACUGUCCAUUGUCUGAAAGCCUCUAACUGACUAAAAAGAGUUGAUGAGAUAGGCCCCAACUAACUUCAACUGUCUAACUGAAAUGAAAAGUUGAACUACUAAAAUAACUUAAGUAAAUAAUUAUGUCCUUGAUAGAUAAUGACUCACCAUAACUACUGCUGCUUAUAGACGGAUCUGUCUAAGCACAGUCAAAAAAUUGAGCAUCCGAACCUAUGAUAUAAGAUAUCAUAGUACAAAAAAAUGUAUGUGAUCAGUACUUUGAAUGUACUGGUAUGCGAGAUCAGGUUAGGCUGAAAUACAAAGGUUUAUAUGCAUGAGAUAAUGACUGAAUGAAUAGCAUAAGAUAACUAAGUUUAAAUACAUGAAAGCUAUAAAAUCUGAGAAUGCAUGACUAAGCAUAUAACCUGAUUCUGAAUUAGUCUAUGAACUGAAAUACUGAAAUACUGAUAACUGAAUAAUUGAUAACUGUAUGUUAUGGUCAAACAAACCUAAAACUGAAUUCUAUACUAAAUAUUGGACUGAGACUGUGAGAGCUAACAUCUAACUGAUAUGCCCCAAUAUGAGCUAAUUGGGGUCCAACAUAUGAAUCUAGUUAAAAGGGUGUCAGUACCGUUCUACGGGUACUAACAUUGGCUGUGCGGAUCCACUGAACUGAUGUCCCGAAGGACUAACGAGUCACCCUCAACUGGCAAGUACUCUAAUGAGAUAUGUGUCAACCCUCAACUGGCAAGUGGACAUCUCAACCUACAUGGGCUACAUAGUUACGGAACACAGGGAUUGCUACUAUGGAUCACAUCCUCUACUGGCAGGUGAACCCCCAUCCCUGGGUUCACUCGAUGUUAAAUCCUACUCCCAACUGAACUGACUCGGAUUACAGAUCCGAUCUAAGUUUGACUGAUAUAAUAACUGACUAAACUUAUAAUUCUCAAAUAUAUCUGAAACCAUUCUAAAAAUACUGAGACUAAGUAAUAAUCUAAGUUUUUGGGUAUUAGUAACCCCCAGGACUCGAUAGCAAUAACAAUAGGAUCAUACUAAAGCUUUGGGAAACAUAAUAAUUAGUCAUUAUUCAAAACUCAACAUUUUAGGCAUUUUAUCAAACACAUGUGUGUCUGAGUUAAAGCUUGAGAACAGCUAAAUCAUGUGAUAAUAACGUAAUUGCAAUAUUAAGAUAUGGAUUAAGGAUGUAACGUGUGAAUAUCACCAUUCAAACAUGUUAAGGGCAAUUUCCAACGAAAACACAUGGUAAACAUAAUUUGUAAUCAAAGUUCAUAAUAGCUUCAUGAUUAUAACUCAUAAUAACAUAUAAAAAUCAUAACUUUAAACUUGAAAAUGGGUUCUUGGACUCCAUGGGUGAAGAGGGCCCAUGGAUGAAUAUCUAAAUGCCUUAAUUGAAGAAUUCAUUAAGAUUCGUGAUGGUUUUCUUGAAAAUUAAGAUUAAAUCCCUUGUUUCUUUUGAAAAGGCUAGGUUUUGUUCUUGAGAGAGAGAGCGCUAUCAUUUGAGAGAAUUUUGUGUAAAAGAUGACACAUAAUGCUUUUGGGACCCUAAAUCCCGUGUUAUGGAUAGAUUAGGGUGAGGGAAAUGACUUAAAUACCCUCCUAGACCUGAAACUCAUUAAACUGAAUCGAACUGGUCAAUGAGAAAUGCGGCACACCGUAGGGCUCUAUCGACGCGAUAUGCACCGUGCUGCGGGGCUCCUUACCAAUGCAAAAUGUGAUGCAUCAUGGAGCCUUACUAUUUUGACCAUCCAAAUAGGUCUCAAACAACAACAACAACAAACCCAGUAUAUUCCCAUAUCGAGGGGGUCUGGGGAGGGUAGAGUGUACGUAGUCCAUACCACUACCUCUAAAGAAGUAGAGAGGCUAUUUCCGAUAGACCCCCGACUGAAGACAAAGGAUAGUAUAUAAAACAUCAAAGGUAUGGAACACGAUAAAAACAUAGGUACGACACCCACAAAAAAUUAUACAUUGCCAAUCAAAGGACACUGAAGCCCUCCUACCUACUGACUAUGACUCAUCCACCCACCCUAUCCCUCUACCCUAAUAUUCUUCCUUCAUACCUUUCUAUCUAGGGUCAUGUCCUCAGUCAGCUGUAAUUGCUCUAAGUCAUGUUUAAUCACUUCCCUCCAGUAUCUCUUCGGUCUACCUCUACCCCGCUUGAAACCAUUCAAGGCCAACCUCUCACACCUAUGAACCGGGGCAUCCAUGCCCCUCCUCAUCACAUGACCAAACCAUCUCAACCUCACUUUUUGUAUUUUAUCCUCCACCGAUACUAGUCCCACCUUCUCCUGAAUAAUCUCAUUCCUAACCUUGUCAGCUCUUGUAAAUCAACAUAUCCAACGCAAUAUCCUCAUCUCCACCACCUUCAACUUUUGGAUAUGAGAAUUCUUAACCGGCCAAUACUCUGCUCCAUAUAACAUAGCCGACCGGAUUACAACCCUAUAAAAUUUGCCUUUCAGCUUGGGGGCACCUUCUUAUCGUAUAAAAUUCCCAAAGCGGGCCUCUAUUUCAUCCAACUUACCCCAAUACGGUAAGAGACAUCCUUAUCUAUAUCUCCAUUCCCCUGAAUUGUAGACCUAAGAUACUUAAAACUAUCUUUCUUGCAAACCGCCUGGGAAUCCAACUUCACAAUUACCUCCUCCUCUUGCCUCGAGUCACUAAACUUGCACUCCAAGUACUCCAUCUUGGUCCUACUCAACUGGAACCCUUUAGACUUCAGGGUUUGCCUCCAAACCUCUAGCUUAUCAUUAACACCUCGAUGCAAAUCAUUAAUUAAAACUACAUCAUUCGUAAAAAGCAUACACCAAGACACCUCGCCUUGUAUACUCCACGUCAACACAUCCAUCACUAAGGCAAAUAAAAAUGAACUAAGAGUUGAUCCUUGAUGCAACCUUGUCAAGACUGAGAAAUGCUCGAAAUCUCCUCCCACUAUCCUUACCCGCGUCUUCGCCCCCUCAUACAUGUCUUUAAUUGCUCUGUUAUACACCAUAGGGACCCCCCUUGCCUCAAAACAUCUUCAAAAAACCUCUUUAUGGUCCUUGUCAUACGUCUUUUCUAAGUCAAUAAACACUAUGUGAUAAUCCCUCUUCCUUUCUCUAUACUGCUCAACCAGUCUCUGCACUAGGUGGAUUGCCUUAGUCAUAGAACGACCAGGCAUAAAUUCAAAUUGAUUCUCCAAAAUAGACACAAUCUUCCUUAGUCUCUGCUCCACCACCCUCUCCCAAAUCUUUAUUGUGUGACUCAACAACUUAAUACCUUGGUAGUUGUUGCAACUCUGAAUGUUACCCUUAUUCUUAUACAAAGAGAUCUACGUGCUUCAUCUACAUGUCUCAGGCAUUUUUGCGGACUUGAAAAUGUUGUUAAACAAGUUGGUCAGCCACCUCAACCCUGCCUCACCAGAGAACUUCCAAAAAUCCAUCGGGAUCUCAUCGGGCCCCGUCGCCCUGCCCCUUUGCAUCUUGUGAAUAGCCUCACUGACCUCCUCUACCUUAAAAUGCUGACAAUAGCCAAAAUCACGACACUCCCCGAUAUUAAUAAACUCUCCUAACACAACACCUCUAUCUCUCUUAUCAUUUAAGAGCCUAUGGAAAUAUGACUACCAUCUUUUCUUAAUGACGGCGUCUUCCGCCAUUACUCUUCUAUCCUCCCCCUUAAUCCACUUAUCUUAGUCCAAAUCCCAACCCUUCCACUUCUUAACCUUGGCAAGCCUAAACAAUCUCUUUUCUCCUCCUUUCUCCUUUAACUCUUUAUACAAACUCUUAAAAGUUGUAGUCUUAGCAGCCGUAACUACUAACUUAGCGUCCUUCUUAUCUAACUUGUACUUCUUCUUGCUCACUCGCUUUUCUUUUUCAUACUUACUCUCAAUCAACUUAGCAUAAUCUACCUUCUUUGUCUCCACCUUCUUCUUAGCAUCUUCAUUCCACCACCAAUCCCCCAACACAGGCCAGACCAGCCCCACGAGAUACCCAACACCUCUCUAUACAAAUCAUGCCGCCUUGAGAUAUUUGAUAAAAAAGAAGGAUGCUAAGCCAAGGCUAAUUAGAUGGGUGCUGCUUCUUCAAGAGUUUGACUUUGAAGUCAAAGAUCGGAAAGGAUGCGAGAAUCAAGUUGCAGAUCAUCUGUCCAGAUUUGAGGGAGAUCAAACAGUCAAGGAUGAGGUCAAAAUUGAUUAUAUAUUCCUAGAUGAGAAAAUUUUGGUUGCUGCUCUUGAAAGAGUACCUUGCUAUGCAGACUUUACAAAUUAUAUGGUAAGUGAAAUUAUCCCAUAGAAUCUUUCUUUUCACCAAAGAAAGAAGUUUCUCCAUGAUAUUACACAAUACUUCUGGGAUAAGCCGUAUUUAUUUUGGCAUUAUGUGGAUAACAUUAUAAGUAGGUGUAUCCCUGAGGUAGACAUACUGAGUAUCCUGGAAGCUUGUCAUGCAUCCCCAAUUGGAGGUCACCAUGCAGGUGAUCGUACUGUAAGAACAGUGCCAUAGAGUGGAUAUUAUUGGUUGACCUUAUUCAAAGAUGCAUAUGAGUUUGUGCAGAGAUGUGACCAAUGCCGGAGACAUGGGUCAAUCUCAAAGCACCAUGAGAUGCCCAUGACAAAAAUAAAGGAAGUGGAGUUGUUCGACGUCUGCGGCAUUGACUUCAUGAGGCCUUUUGUGAGCUCGUGCAGGUUGAAAUACAUCUUAGUUGCCAUCGAUUAUGUGUCUAAAUAGGUUGAGGUUGUUGCCUUGGCCCAUAAUGAAGGCAAAAUAGUGGUUGCAUUCCUUAAAAAGAACAUCUUCUCUUUCUUUGGGGUACCAUGUACCAUCAUAAGCUAUGGUGGAUCAUAUUCUUACAACCAAAUAUUCCGAGCAGCCUUGCUAAAAUACGGUGUUAAGCAACACAAGGUAGAAACUCCAUAUUACCCAUAAACGAGUGAGCAAGUGGAGAUUGCCAAUCGGGAGAUAAAAGAUAUUCUUGGGAAGACGGUGAAUGGGAGUAGAAAAAAUUGGUCUAGGAAGCUAGAUGAUGCCUUGGGGGCAUACAAAACAACUUUUAAGACACCCAUUGGUAUGUCACUAUACCAAUUGGUCUAUGGUAAGGCAUGUUGCUUGCCGAUUGAAUUAAAACACAAGGCAUUGUGGGCACUCAAGAGGCUAAAUUUGAAUUGGAAUGAGGUAGCAGAGUUGCGACUGGAAAGCUGAAUGAGAUGGAUGAGUUCUAUCUCGAGGCUUAUGAAAGAACAGACUUGUACAAAUAAAGGAUGAAGAAGUGCCAUCACCAAAGGAUUAAAAAGCGAGACUUUCAGAAAGGUGAUUGGGUACUCCUCUUCAAUUCCAGACUGAAGCUCUUUCCAGGUAAACUUAAGUCAAAGUGGUAUGCCCAUUCAAAGUUAACCAAGUCUACUCAUCGGGAGUAGUUGAACUUAAAAAUAAGGAUAGAAAUGUCUUCAAGGUUAAUGGGAAACGAGUGAAGCUAUAUAUCAGUCCAAUGGAAUCAAUAAAGUACUUAGCUACCAUCUAUCUAGAUGAAGUCUGAGUAAUCGAGAUAACUGAGUCGUGCCGCGAUAAUAAAUCAGGCCCUAGUCAGAGGCAACCAGAAAGUGUUAUUGUAAGCAUAGUUAGAGUUUAUUUGUAGUUUUUGUUCAAUUUGAUGCAUUGUGUAAGUGUGCAGAAGAGAAAUGCAGGAAAACAGAAGUUGAACAAGUUGGAGAAUGUCCUACGGGAGGCUUGACGGACCGUCAAGGUCAUGAUAGACUGCCACCAAAACUGUCAGACCCAUGGCCAAAUAAUAGACAUUCUGGAUAAGGCUUGAUGGUUAAGUUGAUGGACCAUCACAUGUACGAUGGACCGUCAACACCACCUUCAAAAUAAAGUUGAAAAAUGAAGUUUUUGGAUAGGACUGACAGAAAUUUUGACAGACCGUCACCUCUAUGAUGGAUCUUUGUCUUAACCAUCGCAACAUGGAAGGGUGUUCAUGUUUCUAGAAAGUCCUAAUGAGGGAGUCGACGGACCAUGGAAGCAUUAACGGACCGUUGGGUCGACCGUCAACUUAACCCUAACUUUAAUGGGUCGGGUCGAUUCAAUUUAAUGCAGAGUAAGCCGUUAGCCGACCCAAAGUGGUUUCAAAUUAAUAAAAGAAAUGGUUGAGUACAUUACAAACUCUUCAAAUACUGAGCCAAUUUAAAUUCCCCUACAUUCAAAGUACCGGAGAGCAUUCUUAUCCUUUUAGGACUUUCUCUCUUCCCUUUUCUUUCCUAUUUAAAAAAUUCUUUCUUUCUUUUCUUCAUAUAAAAAUUCAAGUUAUCAAUCAUUGAUGAAAGCUUUAAGUCUUCUCUUAUUCUAAGUUUGCAAGGACAAGGUAGUGAAGUAUACUGCAGAAACAAGGUAUGAUCACAAAUUUACUCUUCUUUUCAAUAUGGUGAAGCAUGAGUCAUGCAAGAAUUUCAUUUUGUUUUUGCUUUGUUGUGAUUCUGAUUUUAAGCGGAACUCUGGUGUACACUACUUUGGGUGAAGUUUGAGCAACCCAUGGACCAAAAGUGGCAAGAUUUGUGCUUAAAUACUAAAUUAAUACCAUAAUUAUGUGUAUAAUAACUUAAGUACACCAGGUGUUCGACGAAAUGCCAAAGUGAAAUCUGAGGUUGAAAAGUGAGGCUAACGGCCAACUUGACGGACCAUCAGACCCCUGACGGACCAUCGGGUAGACCAUCACAAUGUUAUUGAGUCUGAUGCUCAUUGGUAAGCUACGACGGCUAACCUGACGGGCCGUCAGACUCCUGAUGGACCGUCGGGUCAACCAUCGCAAGGUUAAUUGAUAAAAAACUCACUGGUUGAGGCUUGACGGUGAGGGUGAUGGACCAUGGCAGUCUUGACAGACCAUCAGACGUUUCUCAAGCUAGAUUUUUAUUGUUUUGUCUGGUUCUAAAUUGAAAACUAAUUAUUUGUUUCCUUUUUAGGCAAUAUGGCACGAAAACUUCACCUAACCAGAGGCGGUGGAAGAACACAACGAGGAAGGGGUGAUCUAACAUUGAGUGAGAAGGCUCUGGAUUUCAACACUCGACAAAGGGACUGAAUAAAUCAGGCACUCUUCCGGUAUGAAGAGGAGAGUAAAGCCAAUACCAGUAGCAUAAGUUCGAGCCCCAAUGAGGAAAGGGUCAAUACAUCAAACGCCACCCAAGUUGAGGCAUCGAAAACUGAGGAUGCCAAUGUGGUUAAGAGAAAAGACCCUCAAACAAGGAAGGAAAUAAGGUGUCAAGUUGAAGUACCAAAGGAUAAGUACCUUGAUGGAUUGGAACCAACAAAGACUAGGACAAUCUCCGAAGAGCACCAAAUAGUGACGACCAAGUUGCAUGAGUAUCCAGAGCUUGGGCAGCAAUUCAAUAAAUAUGAGUUAUCCUAGAUGAGCAAACCUCUCGGGGCGUACCAACAGAAUCUUAUAUGAGACAUUUUAGCCAAUUAUUUAGCACUGGCAGAGAAGACUGUGCCAAGGGCUCAAAAAUCAGAUUUGCCUAACAGGGAAUCAGUUUCGCUCAAAGGGGUUACCAUUGAUAUAUUGGCCCGCAUGCUGAAUAGGAUAUUGUUUGGGACUAACUAUGAAGCACCAGUUGUGGUUCCAGAGCUUGAGCAUUGUAUGACCACAACAUCUACUCAAAGGCCUUGGUUGUCUAGGCUCCUUACUGAUGAUGGCAACCCAUCCUGGGUAUUCAAUCCAUCCGAGUGCAUUGCUAAAUCAUCUCUUAGUUUCUGAGUUAAGUUUUGGUAGGCCAUUGUACGAUUAAGGUUAAUGCCAACAGGGAGAGAUACUAAUUUGGAUAGUCAUAAGACUGUGUUGGUGGCUAGUUUGAUUGCCAGGAUGAAGAUUGAUUUUGGCCAAAUUAUUGCUGAUAAGAUAUUUUUUCAGGCACACAAAGUGGCAAGCGUGUUACCAUUUUCGUGUUUGAUAACGGAAUUAUGUAGUCAAGCCAAUGUACCUUUUAUUCGAGGAGUUUACAAUGAGGUGUGGGUAACUCACAGGUAAUAUAUUGAAAAAAAAGGAUGCCUCAAAAUAUAAAAUGCGAGUUAACAAACCUCCUGCAUAGCAGACGCAGUUAGCGCCAACCCUCUACACUUUUGAGAUACCCACAGGUAUGCCGUUGCCUAUCACUACUUAUGUGUCGCCCAAUUAUGUGCCACCUAGUACUAAUGUAGGAUCAAUAUCUAUGUCGCCAAUGGGUGGGACUUCAGUUAUUGUAUCUGUCCCACCUUAAUAUUUGGAGUACAGGUUAACACAGGAAAAUUUUACCAAGUCUGUUAAAUAACAGAAAAAGUUUCAGAAGUAGCUAGACACAUGUGCUAUGUAGUUUAAGCCUUUUGUUGACCAUAUUGUGGAUAAGAUAAUUUGUCCUUUUCAGAACAUUCAGGUCAGGAUGGAUCAUAUGGAGGAACGUGUAAACAAAAGGCUGGAUGCGAUGUCAAUUCUAGAUUUUGCUCAAUUUAUGGCAGAAUUUAAGAAAGCACAGACGGACAUAGAAGAGCUAAAAUGACAACCACAGCAGCAUAUUUUUGACCCUGCUCUAAUUAUAAGUGAUGAGUAUAAGGGCAUUAUAGACUUGAUGGGUAUACCGCUUAAGGACAAAGGCAAGCAGGUGGACGAAAGUGCUGACAACAAAACUGUCAAAAGAAGAAGGAGAGAAGUAAUGACACCAAAAGAAAGAGAAGCCAGAGAUAUAAGGAAAACUGCAAAGAGGUCAAAGAGAUAUGAGGAUAAGAGACAAAAGAAAGUUGUGGAUGAAGCCACUGGAGUGUUGACCAGUUUUAUCCCACCUAGGGGCCACUUUCAUACCUGGUUCGAGUUGAGAUACCUCCGAUUCAGGAGGAUGAUGUUGUGAGUACCCCUACCACCAUAGGGGUCAAUGUUGUUGCCCCCGAGGCCAAAGAAGCCUCACCCCAUUUGAAUGAUGCCUCAUCAGACUGAGAGGAUUUAUAAGUAUUCCUCUCCUUUGUACUUUAUUUUAAUGCAUUGAGGAUAAAACAUUCAUUUUUUGUGGGGGCGGGUAUACUUGUACCAUAGGGAUUUUUGUUGCUUGUGUUUUUUCCCUCCCGUAUGAUAUCUAGUAGAACCGACAUGUUUAGGUUGCAUAUUUAUUUUUCUUGUGAUGUACAUAUUGUGUCAUAAUUAUAAGUAUGUUAUUUAUGUUAUUUUCUUCCCUUUUAGCACCAUUUUGUAUGUAUGAAUGAAAAAAUAAUUGUGGCAAAGUACUUUAAACAUGAUUUUGUAUGACUAUUCUUUAUUAUCACUUGGUAAAUAUGUUGAACAACCAGCUGUGAUUCUGUAAUUGGCAUUAGGAUGUAAAGUGAGCAUGACCAUGUGAUGUAAAUCCCAAGAGUUGGCAGAAUAAGUGUUAACUCAUUGCCUGUGUAUGAGAGUGUUUGUUAUAUUUCUUGCAUAGUGUUAUACCUAUAACUUUCCCGGUUCAUUGAUGUUGUUUUGUGAUUGAUUAAAUUAGAUAGGAUAGCAGGCCUCCUUGUACGUUUAGUCCACUUAGCCUAAAAGAAUGACCCACCAAAAAGAUUUUUCCAUUGUUUGAACCCCUUUUGAGCUUAUGUUAGUUUUAUCCAUUCCCAAUAACUUUGAGUAACACUCUUUAGGAUGUUAGCACCUAGCUUUGGCCCUGGUCUAAUAUUGGACAUUGUUCACCUUAACUUAGGCAAAACGCCUAAGUUGAGGGUGGCUACUGUCAGGACAUUAGUAGUAUGUUGAGGGUGGUCUAGAGUUAAAAUGAAAUAUCGCAUCCGGCCCUGAUCUAGUUAGAUAUUAAGAACCUCAACUGACUGCAUCAGCAUAAGUUGAGGGUGGUUUAUGCUGACUAAAAAAAACUGGGUUUAUGUCAAAAGCGUGGAUGAAUAAUAGAGAUUAUAAGUGAGCUAGAAAAGCAGUAGUCUUGGUCAGUAGCAAUCAAGGGAAAAAAGAGUGAAGUCUAAACUUUAAAGUCACUUUUCCCAAAAUUUGUCCUUACCUAGGCCCGGAACCUCAUACAAGCCAGAGAAAGACCUGCUUGAUCUUUGUGAAUCAACCGUAAGGGAGCAUUAGAUGAUAAGGGCAAACCUAUGGGUAUGUAUACUAUGUUUACAACUUCUUUGAUGAGUGUGAGAGUUUUGAUUUUCGUCCACAAGUUAAAUGAAUAAUGAGUGGUGAACUUCAUUUACUGUGAGAGCAACUUGAGUUAUGCUUAGUUUUGCUGAUCUCUGUGGGAUAUUUUAUCCAUAUUUGUAUAUGAGCUGAAUUAUAAAUAAUGCCAGUUAUAGAUGCUGAUAUAUUGAGACUAUAUGAGUGAGAUAACAGUUGAGUAGUUGUGUGAAAUCUAGUUCAACAGUUGAAUGCCCAUCAUUGUAUUAUUUAUGUAUCCGAUUUGGUGCUGAGUUGCUUAAGGACAAAUAAUUUUCUUAAGUUGAGGGUGUUGAUGUUUCGUCUUUUGAUGAAAUAUUUUACAUCAUUUUCAAGAGAUAAUUGUAUAUUUUCAAGAAACUGUUGUUGUAUUUGAUACUGGGUUUUAGUAUUUUUAGUUCAAAAACUUAGCUGAAAAGGUAACUUGGAAAAUCAACAGAAUAAGGAUACUGACGGUCAAACUGGCGGACCGUCAACCUUGUGAUGAACCACCAGAGUGAUCAUCAGGGCUAAACAGAAUGGACUAAGUAAAUGACCACUGUGACGGUCCAAGUAAUGGAUCAUCGGACCUUUGACGACCUAUCAACUUUGCCGUCAGGCUAAAACAGUGAAUAGCAUCACAAGUGAUCAAGCGAUGGUCCAUGCAAUGUCCCGUUAGGCCAGUGACAGCCCGUCACACCUUAACCAGAAAGUAGUAGCUUGGGAUCAUCAGCGAUAGUUCAUGUGAUGGACCGUCAGUCUACCAACGGGCUGUCAACGUGACCGUUAAGUUCAACGCGGCAUUAAUGAGUUCAAAUUUCAAGCCCCCACUGUCUGGGAACACAUAAAUACCCAGUUUAAGUUUAAUUUAGGUAUCUUUUAUCAUAUUUCCAUCUUGAAAACUUAUUAUAGCGUAUUAUUCUCUGAGAUUCAACCUACUAUUGUGGAUCUAGCUAUUUUAUUCAUUUUUCACUGAAGAUUCAAGAACAAUUAUUGGAACUUUUGUAAGUAAUUCUCUGAAUUUAUUUAUGAAUAACACAAUGACUACUUCUUCUUCACUUGAGAUGUGUGGCUAAGCUACCAUAACUAGGGUUAUGGGAGUCUUAAUGUGAAUAGCUGAUUGGGGUUGUGAAGACACUUAAUUGAAAUCGUAUAAACCCUUCUUCAUAUUAACGACCUUUCUUGGUUGCAAACUUGAAGGGUGAGACCAAGAACAUCACUUGUUUGAGUAUAAAAGUGUAUAUUGAAAAAAAAAGAGGUUUACAUGAAAUCUAAAGGCUUUACCCUUUGGAUUAUGGGUUGAUUCCUUAAUGGGAUCAACCUACGUGAAAGACUUGUUGAAUAAACCAAUGUAUUCCUUAAGUUCAAAAGAAUUGAAGGGUAAACUAUCCAUUUAGGUUGAGAAACAAAUGAGUAAACUUUAGAAUUCAAAAACUUCUACAAUUGAAGUUAUAAAUUGGAAACCUACGAUAAUUCACAACCUCGACUGCUUGAACAUAUCCUGGUUUGUCUACUCUCAUUGAAUUAACACUUGCAAUAAGAUUCUCUGGUUGGAACACAUGUUGCUACAAACAUCUGGAUAUUGUUGAUAAGUCAAAACCCCCUUUACUCCAAAACCUUCGAUCAACAGUCAAUUAACAACCAUAGCACUUAGUUUGCACAGUAUUCCCUAUGAGAUUUGACCCCAACCUAGUUGGGUUCUAUAUUUGACAAUGACCGCCUACACUUUCUAAUGAGAGUUGUAAUUUGGGUGUAUCACACUAGUUGAAGACAGAGCUGGGGCAGAAGAUUUCUGACAGAAUUGAGGAUGGUUACCACCCUCUGUCUUGGCUGAGCAAAGUUGAAACUACCUGUCCCAGCCAUCUGAUUCUCUCUUUUUUUCUCCUUAACCUUUUCCUCUAAAAUCUUCUAAGAAUGGACCAUAAGCCUAUAUAAGUAUAUAUCUUUAAUCAACAUUGCGGUCUUACACUCCUUGACCACACUAUCAGAUACACCAGACACAAACUUACUCAUUCUAGACCUGUUAUCAGACACCACAUGAGGAGCAUACCUCGCCAACUGAGUAAAUUUAUGCGAAUACUCCUUUACACUCAUACUACCCUGCUUUAAAUUAAUAAACUCCAACACCUUAGCUUUCCUCAAUUUCAAAAGAAAGAAUCUGUCUAAAAAUGUUGUAGCAAACUCCUCCCACUUUACAGCCCCUACAUUUGUGCCUCUAUCCUCUUUCCACUGCUUAUGCCAGGUAUGAGCUACAUCCUACAAAUGGUAAGCGGCUAAAUCUACACUCUCCCCAGAUAUGACACCCAUAAUAUUUGUUACCUUCUGAACCAUGUCAAAGAACUCAUGCAAAUCCUCAUCAGACUUGGAUCCCAAGAACUAAGGAGGAUUCAUUUGGAUGAAGUCCCGAACCUGGCUACGGCAGGACUAGCCACUGGAUUAGUUGGGAUAGGAUCCUACUAAUUAUUCUAAGCUGCUACAGAGUGAUCCAGAGUAGUAAAUAUAGCUCUGAACUAGAAAUGAGAGACAUGCUCAUUCAGGGGAUCCUCCUGAACGGGCAGAGGUACAGGCUGAUUCCCGUUUCUUCUUCCAUUAGUCUUUCUGGGAGACAUGUUCUGUAAAUGAAAGGAAGAUUGAAUUACAAAGAGGGUUUAAAUAGAGCUCAUGCUCAUUCGCAUGACAUGAAUACUGAAAGAAGGGAAACUUUUCCUAAAACGACUUAUAGCCUCCUGUCUAUAAGUUUCACGUGUUUCACACCCAUUCACAGGACUCUACUCAACGCAAAUUUCAGACUCCGUAGGACACUUUAAGACCUUAGGAUCUGAUACACAAUUUGUAAUACCCCAAAAAUUCACCCUGGAUGCCACACAAUUCUUACGAUCUCGAAGGACCAUAAGCUAAUCCAUGAACUGGUACCUGCUAUGAGCACUGAAUAGUAUAGUAACAAAAUAUAUAUGUGAAGAAAUAAAUGAAUAAUGUCAAAGGUUUAAACACUAAGAUCAUUACUGAAUCCUAAGUCUGAACACAUACUGAAAGUCAAAUAACAACACUGAUAAACUGACUAACUGUCUGUUGUUUGAAAGCCUCUAACUGACUAAAAAGAGUUGAUGGGACAGACCCCAACUAACUUCAACUGUCUAACUGAAAUGAAAAGAUGAACUACUAAAAUAACUAAAAUAAAUAAUCAUGUCCUCGAUAGAUGAGGACUCACCACGACUAAUGCUUCUGAUAAGUGAUCUGUCUAAGCGCGAUUAGGAAACUGAGAGUCCAAACCUAUGAUAUAAGACAUCAUAGCGCAAAGAAAAUGUAUGUGAUAAAUACUUUGAAUGUACUGGUAUGUGAGAUAAGGUUGGGCUAAAAUGCAUAGGUUUAUGUGUAUGAGAUAAUGAUUGAAUGAAUAGUAUGAGAUGACUGAGUUUAAAUACAUAAAAGAUAUAAAAUCUGUGAAUGCAUGACCAAGCGUAUAACCUAAUUCUGAAUUAGUCUAUAAACUGAAAUACUAAAAUACUAAUAAUUGAAUAAUUGAUAAUUGUAUGCUAUGGUCAAAUAAACUUGAAACUAAAUUCUAUACUGAAUACUGGACUGAGACUGUGGGAGCAUCAUCUAACCGACAUGCCCCAAUAUGAGCUAAUUGGGGUCCAACUUGUGAUCCCAGUUGAAAGGGUAUUAGUACCGUGCUAUGGGUACUAACAUUGACUAUAUGGAUCCACUAAUCUGAUAUCCCGAAGGACUAACGAGUCACCCUCAACUGGCAGGUGCUCUAAUGAGAUAUGUCUCAGCACUCAACUGGCAAGUGGACAUCUCAACCUACGCUGGCUACGUAGUUUUGGAAUACAGGGAUUGCUACUAUGGAUCACACCCUCCACUGGCAGGUGAACCCCUAUCCCUGGAUUCACUCGGUGCUAAAUCCUACUCCUAACUGAACUAACUCGGAUUACUAAUUUGAUCUAAGUUUAACUGAUAUGAUAACUGACUAAACUGAUAAUGCUCAAAUGUAUCUAAAACUAUUCUAAAAAUAUUAAGACUAAGUAAUCAGCUAAGUUUUUGGGUAUUCAUAACCCCCAGGACUCGAUAGCAAUAAUAAUAGGAUCAUACUAAAGCUUCGGGAAACAUAAUAAGUAGUCGUUAUUCAAAACCCAACCUUAUAAGCAUUUUAGCAAACGCAUGUGGGUUGUGAGUUAAAGCAUGGGAACAGUUAAAUCAUGUGAUAAUAACAUAAUUAUAAUAUUAAGACAUGGAUUAAGGAUUUAACAUGUGAAUAUCACCAUUCAAACAUGUUAAGGGCAAUUUCCAACGAAAACACACCGUAAACAUAAUUUGUAAUCAAAGUUCAUAAUAGCUUAAUGCAGAUAACUUAUAAUAAUAUGUAAAAAUCAUAACUUUAAACUUGAAAAGGGUUCUUGGACUCCAUGGGUGAAGAGGUCCCAUGGAUUAACAUCUAACAUACCUUAAUUGAAGAAUUUGUUAAGAUUUGUGAUGGUUUUUUUGAAAAUUAAGCUUGAAUACCUUGUUUCUUUUGAAGAGGUUAGGGUUUGUUCUUGAGAGAGAGAGCUAUCUUUUGAGAGAAUUUUGUGUAAAAGAUGACAAAUAAUGUUUUUGGGACCCUAAAUCCCGUGUUAUGGCUGGAUUAGAGUGAGGAAAAUAACUCAAACACCCUCCUGGACCUGAAACUUAUUAAACUAAACCGGACUAGUUGACGAGAAGGGGGAAAUUUCUCUUCGAAAAUGCGAUGUGGUUAUUGCAAACGUGAAGGAAGGAAAAUCACUUCUUUGUGAACACGACAGAGGAUGUUGCGAAUGCAAAGGAGGAAGGGUCAUGCACCAACAACGAUGGAAACUAGCAAAGCUAACUCAAAACUCUUCGAACAAACUUUCAAAAUUUGUUUGAGACCUCACAAAAAUAAACCGAUAGUGAUACUAAGCUAAUUUUGACGUUUCAAACUCAAUGACGAUAUCAGAUUUAAAAAAAUAUAUUUUUAAUAAAUUAACCCCCGAGACCCAUUUAGGCUAAUUUAACUAGUUUUCAAAUGGAAGAUGGAAAUAAAAAAUAAAGGCUCGGGACCCGACUAACCACACUACUAACCCAAAAUUAAUAUUUCAGAUCUAAUAGAACUAUCCAAAUCAUUAUCCGUGGUUCGAAUCACAAAAUAUUGACCGAAGUCAAACUAACUUUUUUUAAGGAUGUUCAAAACCACAAAAUCAUUUAAAACACAUCUCUAACCAUGCCAAUCAUCCUCACAAACUCGUAACUAAGAUAAAACAAUUAUGGAGAAGGGUAAAAUGAUCAAAACUUAAAAGUUUUUAAAAGUCAGUACGAGGAUCAUUAUACAAGAAUGACACAUUUAUAUCUUUAGUAACAUUUUAACUUUAUAAUUUUUAUUUUACCUUUAAUUAAAUAAUUUAUAGCUAGACAAGUAUUUAUCAAAAAAAAAUUCACUUAUACUCUGUAAGUGGAUUAGCUCAGAUAUCCCCUUCUCUCUCUAUAUAUAUAUAGAGAGAGAGAGAGAGAAAGAGAGAGAGGGGGGGACUAACUACCCUGCUGAUGUGACAUGUCUAGAAUGUCAAGAAAGACAUUUAUCUUUUACCACACUUUUUUGACUUUUUUUUUCACAUUUUAUAUGUUAAAUAUCUUUUUUAUUCUUUUAAAAGGAAAAACGUAAUGGUCAUAUAAUAAGGAACGAUUACAUUUUCUCCACAUUCAUUAUGAAUUAUUGUAAUUGUUAACAUUAUAGAAUUUCAAAGAGCCACCUUUUAAAACCCUUAAUUACCCUAUCUUUGGCAUUGAUACAUAAUUUUUCUAGGCACUAUAUAAGUGUAUCCAUGGCAUUGUCUAAGCAAAUGGUUCCAAAUUGGGGACGCUACUCUUUUUAUGACUGCUCAUUGCAAGUCCUUCUUUGAAUAUGUUGAGAAGAAAUCAAACUUUAGCAGUUUAUUUAGUGAAGCCAUGGAGAAUGAUGCACUAUUGGUUGUAAGCUUAAUAAUUGAACAUUGUAAGGGAGUCUUUGAAGGAUUGAAAUCACUGGUGAACGUUGGUGCGACAAAGGUGUCGUCGCUAAAGUUAUUGCCAAUGUAUUUCCUCAAAUAAAUUGUACUGUUUUUGAGCUGCCACAUGUCAUUGAAGGACUUGAAGGAUACAAGAACCUGACCUAUGUGUGAGGAGACAUGUUUAAGUCUAUUCCUUACGCCAAUGCAAUUUUACUAAAGGUAACUUGUAAUUAGUACUUUUCACACUAUAACAAUAUUAUAUAUGAAUUUAUAUUUUAUGGUGUAUGUUUGAUGAAUGACAAAUAGUCGAUACUGCAUGAUUGAAAUGAUGGAGAGUGCAUAAAAAUAUUGAAAAAAAAAUAAAAUAAUUUCAAGUAAGGAUAACGGAGGAAGACUAAUUAUUAUUAACAUGGUGAUGGACCAUAACCUUGACCAUGAUUCAUAUGAAGCUCAACUUUUCUUUGGCUUGCUCAUGAUGGUUGUGACUUCCGGAAAGGAAAGAAGUGAACAAGAAUGGGCAAAACUCUUCUCUGAUUCUGGUUUUAGUGACUACAAGAUUUUUCCUAUACUAGGAUUGAAAUCUGUUAUUGAGGUUUAUCCUUAAAUCUUGUUGUGUCACUAGAAUUUCAAAUAAUAGAAGAUUUGGCCAAAGAAUCUUGCAAAUGUUUAUUGUUUUUUUUUGUUUUCAUGUAUUACAGGAAAUGUUAUUCUUCAUUUCCAUAUGUAUUGUUAACUAAGGAACACCUUGUGUUAUAUUCCCGCACUUCAUAUGUAAUGACUUCUUUAGGGCAUGUGAGUUAUCAUGAUCGCUAUCUUAAGAAGCCAAAUAAAAAGGAAAAAGAAUCCAUAACUACACUUUUUAUAUGCCAAAGAAGACUUUAUAUAAGAACUACAAUUAAUUUUGGUGCCUUAUUUUUUCCUUGAGAAAUUAAAAUUUUCGGCAGCUAAUUAAAGGAACUUAGUAGGCGUUUGACCGUAGAAAUAUUAAUAGAUGUAGUUGCAGAUCAAUUAGAGAUGGAACAAUUAAUCAAAUUGGGUCAAGGUGCUUUUUAUACUAGAGAUUUCUAUAUAAAUAUAUAUUUCAUGAAUUUCGACACACAAAUGCAGAGGCCUGUGAAUUAGAGACAGGCUAUGCAAAUUCAGUCAAAGUGCUUCUGUUUUUUGCCUUCUUCCUAAUAUUGUUAUCGUGUAUACAUUUCUACAUUUCUUAGUGUAAAUUGUAAAGCAAAGUUUCUUAUAUUUUGAUUUUAUUACUCGAAAGUUCGAUACAUACAAAGUUACUUCUACCACGCUAUUAUAAAGUACGAAGUUCAACUCCUUGCAAAACCAAAUUAAGGUGUGGCAAAAGUGAGCAAUGAAAGAGAUCAAGGAUGUCAUCUUAUAAGAAGAUUGUUAUUCUUUCAAUUAAUAAUCAACAAGUUUUCACACGUAGUUGAUUUCUUGCACUCUUUUCAUGAAGUUAUUUUUUCUAUAUAUUGUGUUGCAUUUUAAUACUUAUUAUGUAAGAAGGUUCAAAAUUACUAUGAAUCAUUUUUGAUAUUAUGAUGCAGAAAAUUCAAAUGUGUUGCAUGCUUGAGUUUUGGGCUUUUGGGAGAACAAUUAAAAUGAUUCAAGCAGAUGAAAAACUAAGUAGUCAUCUUUCAUGCCACUAAAUAAUUUUACGCAUAUUUAUUUAUUUAAUAAAUGAUAACUUGCUUUACAACGUUGAAAGCACCAAUAGUACAAGGUUUCCUUAUUUAUACUUUUUUUUAAAAUUUAUUUUUACUUGUCACAUUGUGUAUUAUGAAAAUUAAUUUGAUUAAAUUUCAAAACUAAAUUUAAGUAGAUUAAUUUACUAUUUUAAAUUUUAAAUUUAGUUGUUCGAAACUAUACGAAAAAAUGCUAUAAGUUGUAAUUUAUUUUAUGUUAAUAUCAUGAAAAAAUACAUCAUAAAAUGUUGAUCAAAAUUCAUGCCACUUGACUCUCAGAAAAAUGUAAUAUAAAAAUAAAAAUAAACGGAGGAAGUAAAUUAUAACGUUAAGUCUUCAAGCUCAAAAAACUGUAAUCUUUUCAAAAGGUAAAUUGCCAUAGAGAUAUGACUACCAUUAUAUAUUAUUUCAUAGGCGGUCCGCCACAAACUCAAGAGGAAUGCUAGACUCCCAUGUUGAUGUUUAGAAAAAAUAUAAAUCUGUAUAUUUUAUAUUAGACAUUUAUAGUUUGUUUAAGUUAUAAAUUGUGCUGAAACUGAUAUGUUAAUAUAUUUUCAAAAGUGAGGUAAUUGUGAUGACUCAAAUACAAAUUUAAAUUGUCAGUUUUAGUAUAAUCUCUAUUUUAGUCAAAUAUAUAUAUAUAUACACACUUAAAAAAAGAAUGAUAAACAAAAUAUGUAUAUCAUAAUUUGUUUUGUUUAUAUUCGCACAGAUUUAUUCACUAGUAAACUAGUAAGAAGAGAAUACUUGAGUUAGGGGUGUAUGGAAAAAGCCGUAAAGUCUGAAUACACUGUUACAAUAUUAAGACUCCAUUUGUGCGAUUAGAAUGAGUAUGUUGUUGGUUGUCCACUUGUCCUUCCUUAAAAGCUAGUAGUAGUUGGAUCAGGACUAAUGCAAAUUGUCUUUUCAUAGCACUUGAUGAACAACCUUUACUUGAUCUCUAUCAAUUUCCCAAAAAAAAAAAAUUUAAUAAAACAUAUACUCCAAUCACCACUAUGCUGCUAUAAGUAAAACCAAAGAAAAUCAUUGAAACCCAAAAAGUUAAAAUCACUCAUUUCAAGAUUUGUUGAUAGAUCUAUUGUAUUGGGUUUUUGGUUUAUCAAGUGUAUGAUCUUCAAUCUUAUGGGUAUAUCAAAAAAUGGGUUGUAGACAUUGAAGUACUUUGUGGGUAUGUUUGUUAUCCAAAUUUGGUGGAUAGAUAUUGUAGAAGUUUAGUUUGUUUUAUGGUUCUUGAGUUUAUUAGUGAUACAAUCUACACCAAAUUAGAAAGAGAAUUGAGCUUUUCCUAAAGGGCAAAAUGCAGAAUUGCCCUUGACAGUUAAGCCUGGAGAAUAACAAGUGAGAUUUUGAGAGAGAGAGAGAAGGAUUUCUAUUGAUUACAACUCCUUGUUUACAAUUGUUAAAUAUGAAUCCAUAUAAUGAAGCAGAGACGGAACCUUCUAGAAGUUAGUUAUUGAACGAACUCACCAACAACUCUAACUGAUAUUUGGAACGCGUGCAGGUCACGUGCCCUUAACUAACUACAGUACACCAUUUAUCUGCUAAUGAAAUGUUUAAAACUAAAAAUAAGAAAUCAUAGAAGAAUCAUUCUCAAAAAGCUUGUAACAAUGCCUCCCCCAUCAGAUAGCCCUUGUCCUCAAGGGUUGAAGCGUGGAAAUUGCUAAUAAAAAGAGAGGUAAUCCUCCCAAGUGCUAUCUUCCUCAACUUUAUUAAAUUAUUUGACAAGCAAUUGAGUGAUAGGUCGACCAUGUUCUUAACCAAAUGCCUGUUGAGGAUGGACUUGGGGGUCAGUACGACAUGACGAUAUUUGAAUGCACCACUAGCAGAGUAGGUGAAGCAGUAUGUGGUCCCAACUUCUAUUUCAGCUAUGAGACAUGAAAAAUUGGGUGAAUUUUGGAAUUAGAAGGCAAAGCUAAGGUGUAACUAACAACACCAACUCUGGAAAUGAUCUGAAAAGGUCCAAAAAACUUUGCAAAAAGCUUUUGGAAGGCAUACGAUUUGAAAGACAAUUGCUUGUAUGGUUGAAGUUUGAUGUAAACCCAAUUACUUACUGAAAAUGACCUGUCAGUCCUUCUCCUGUCUGCCUGAGACUUCAUUCUAUCUUUAGCUCUUUGCAAUUGAAAUUUCAAGCUCCUCAAGGUAGCUUCUCUAGCCUAAAGGCUUCUAUCCACCAAAUCCAACUGAGAGUCAAAUACCAUAUAAGGUAGAAGUGGGGAGGCUUCUUCCCAUACACAACUUCAUAAGGGGUUCUAUUAAUAGCAGAGUGAAAAGUGGUAUUGUACCACCACUCAGAUAAUGGUAACCACUGAGGCCAUUCCUUCGGUUUCUCAAAGGCCAUACACCUUAAGUAAUAUUCCAAUCAAUUGUUAACCACUUUAGUCUGACCAUCAGUUUGAGGAUGGUAGGCUGUGGAGGUUAAUAAAGACACCUUCUGCAGUUUGAAAAGUUCCUUCUAGAAAUUGCUAGUGAAAACUAUAUCCCUAUUAGAUACAAUUGUUUUAGGUAUCAUAUGCAACUUAAACACUUCAGACAUGAAUAAUUAAGAAACAUCAAAGGGUGCAUAUGGAUGUUUAAGGGCCAUGAAAUGAGCAGCCUUGCUCAAUCUGUCAACAACCACAAAAAUGACU
rnacentral:lncRNA from 1 species